rnacentral:rRNA from 1 species
GACGAACGCUGGCGGCGUGCUUAACACAUGCAAGUCGAACGGAAAGGCCCUGCUUUUGUGGGGUGCUCGAGUGGCGAACGGGUGAGUAACACGUGAGUAACCUGCCCUUGACUUUGGGAUAACUUCAGGAAACUGGGGCUAAUACCGGAUAGGAUCUCCUGCUGCAUGGUGGGGGUUGGAAAGUUUCGGCGGUUGGGGAUGGACUCGCGGCUUAUCAGCUUGUUGGUGGGGUAGUGGCUUACCAAGGCUUUGACGGGUAGCCGGCCUGAGAGGGUGACCGGGCACAAUGGGACUGAGAUACGGACCAGACUCCUACGGGAGGCAGCAGUGGGGAAUAUUGCACAAUGGGCGGAAGCCUGAUGCGGAAACGCCGCGUGCGGGAUGACGGUCUUCGGGUUGUAAACCGCUUUCGCCUGUGACGAAGCGUGAGUGACGGUAAUGGGUAAAGAAGCACCGGCUAACUACGUG